UACGAACCGUACAAACGUUAUUCGGAAUCACUGGGCUUAAAGGGUGCGUAGGCGGCCAUGUAAGUGAGGUGUGAAAUCCCUCGGCUCAACCGAGGAACUGCACUUCAUACUGCAUGGCUUGAGGGAGACAGGGGUAAGCGGAACUGAUGGUGGAGCGGUGAAAUGCGUUGAUAUCAUCAGGAACACCGGUGGCGAAAGCGGCUUACUGGGUCUCUUCUGACGCUGAGGUACGAAAGCUAGGGGAGCGAACGGG
rnacentral:rRNA from 1 species